AGAGUUUGAUCCUGGCUCAGGAUGAACGCUGGCGGCGUGCUUAACACAUGCAAGUCGAACGAAGCGAUUAGAAGGAAGUUUUCGGAUGGAAUUCUAAUUGACUGAGUGGCGGACGGGUGAGUAACGCGUGGGUAACCUGCCUCAUACAGGGGGAUAACAGUUAGAAAUGACUGCUAAUACCGCAUAAGCGCACAGGAUUGCAUGAUCCGGUGUGAAAAACUCCGGUGGUAUGAGAUGGACCCGCGUCUGAUUAGCUAGUUGGUGGGGUAACGGCCUACCAAGGCGACGAUCAGUAGCCGACCUGAGAGGGUGACCGGCCACAUUGGGACUGAGACACGGCCCAAACUCCUACGGGAGGCAGCAGUGGGGAAUAUUGCACAAUGGGGGAAACCCUGAUGCAGCAACGCCGCGUGAGUGAAGAAGUAUUUCGGUAUGUAAAGCUCUAUCAGCAGGGAAGAAAAUGACGGUACCUGAGUAAGAAGCCCCGGCUAACUACGUGCCAGCAGCCGCGGUAAUGCGUAGGGGGCAAGCGUUAUCCGGAUUUACUGGGUGUAAAGGGAGCGUAGACGGCGAUGCAAGUCUGAAGUGAAAGCCCGGGGCUCAACCCCGGGACUGCUUUGGAAACUGUAUGGCUAGAGUGCUGGAGAGGCAAGCGGAAUUCCUAGUGUAGCGGUGAAAUGCGUAGAUAUUAGGAAGAACACCAGUGGCGAAGGCGGCUUGCUGGACAGUAACUGACGUUGAGGCUCGAAAGCGUGGGGA
rnacentral:rRNA from 1 species